UGUGUACUUGGUUUGGGUUACAAAUUAUAAAUAACUUCAAGUCUUAAUCAAUUUACAAGUAUCUAUCUAUUUAUAUCAGUCUACCUUCAAGAUUUUGGAGGAAAAUGAGAAUUUAAUUGUCCCAAGAUACCAAUCUUUGACCAAGAAGCGUCGGUAUGAAAGAUAAGUGCGUCAGAAAGUUAAUUAGUGUUUCAGAAGGAUUAGAUUUAGUAUGUCAGGGG
rnacentral:lncRNA from 1 species